CCUGAAACCGUGUGCCUACAAGUAGUCAGAGCCCGUUAACGGGUAAUGGCGUGCCUUUUGUAGAAUGAACCGGCGAGUUGCGUUAGUCAGCAAGGUUAAGUCAGAAAAGACGGAGCCGUAGCGAAAGCGAGUCUGAAGAGGGCGAGCAGUUGGCUGACGCAGACCCGAAACCAAGUGACCUACCCAUGACCAGGUUGAAGGCGCGGUAAAACGCGCUGGAGGACCGAACCCACGUAAGUUGAAAAUUGCGGGGAUGAGUUGUGGGUAGCGGUGAAAUUCCAAACGAACUUGGAGAUAGCUGGUUCUCUCCGAAAUAGCUUUAGGGCUAGCCUCGCAAAGAGGAUGCUGGAGGUAGAGCUCUGUUUGGACUAGGGGCCCGUCAAGGGUUACUGAAUUCAGAUAAACUGCGAAUUCCAGACAUUUAUGUGCGGGAGUCAGACUGCGAGUGAUAAGAUCCGUAGUCGAAAGGGAAACAGCCCAGAUCACCAGUUAAGGUCCCAAAAUUCAUGCUAAGUGGAAAAGGAUGUGGAGUUGCGCAGACAACUAGGACGUUGGCUCAGAAGCAGCCAUCAUUCAAAGAGUGCGUAAUAGCUCACUAGUCGAGUGACGCCGCGCCGAAAAUUUACCGGGGCUAAGCAUGAUACCGAAACUGUGGAUGUGCGUUUAUGCACGUGGUAGGAGAGCGUUCUAGCGGCGGUGAAGCAUGACCGAGAGGACAUGUGGAGCUUCUAGAAGUGAGAAUGCCGGUAUGAGUAACGAAAGACAGGUGAGAAUCCUGUCCGCCGCAAGACUAAGGUUUCCUGGGGCAGGCUCGUCCGCCCAGGGUAAGUCGGGACCUAAGGCGAGGCCGAGAGGCGUAGUCGAUGGACAACAGGUUGAAAUUCCUGUACUGCACCGAAUCGUUAUGAGCGA
rnacentral:rRNA from 1 species